GACGAACGCUGGCGGCGUGCUUAACACAUGCAAGUCGAACGGAAAGGCCCUGCUUUUGUGGGGUGCUCGAGUGGCGAACGGGUGAGUAACACGUGAGUAACCUGCCCUUGACUUUGGGAUAACUUCAGGAAACUGGGGCUAAUACCGGAUAGGAGCUCCUGCUGCAUGGUGGGGGUUGGAGAGUUUCGGCGGUUGGGGAUGGACUCGCGGCUUAUCAGCUUGUUGGUGGGGUAGUGGCUUACCAAGGCUUUGACGGGUAGCCGGCCUGAGAGGGUGACCGGCCACAUUGGGACUGAGAUACGGCCCCGACUCCUACGGGAGGCAGGAGUGGGGAAUAUUGCACCAUGGGCGGAAGCCUUAUGCAGCCACGCCGCGUGCGGGAUGACGGCCUUCGGGUUGUAAACCGCUUUCGCCUGUGACGAAGCGGGAGUGACGGUAAAGGGUAAAGAAGCACCGGCUAACUACGUG
rnacentral:rRNA from 1 species